rnacentral:misc_RNA from 1 species
GAUGAAGAACGCAGCGAAAUGCGAUACGUAAUGUGAAUUGCAGAUUUCAGUGAAUCAUCGAAUCUUUGAACGCACAUUGCGCCCGCUAGUAUUCUGGCGGGCAUGUCUGUUCGAGCGUCAUUUCAACCAUCAAGCCCUGUGCUUGUGUUGGAGCCCUGCGGCUGCCGCAGGCUCCCAAACCCAGUGGCGGGCUCGUCGUCGUACCGAGUGCAGUAAACAUACCACGCUCAGGGCACGCGACGGGUGACCGGCCGUAAAACCCCCCCCCUUCUCAAGGUUGACCUCGGAUCAGGUAGGAAUACCCGCUGAACUUAAGCAUAUCAAUAAGCGGAGGA